rnacentral:sRNA from 1 species
UGAUGAACUGCCGUAGACAGUAGGUGCCGAAAGGCAUAAGCAGGUAAACGCCUACCGAGGAAGAAUCGUGAUGAACGAAUUUUAACUCUCAUACUGCAGUAUGGGAGUUUUUCUUUUA